CUUAUUUGACUUCCUAUCUGAGAUAUGCAAUGAACCGUAUCAUUGCUAAUGCCAUUGAUUUCAAAGACUUUCUCAAACUUGAGUGUGUCAUAGUUCCCUAAGGGCCUCAAUAGGACCCCGGGUAGUGCUCACACCCAAGUUACAUAACCAGAAUAGAGACAGGUGCAGUAUGGAAAUGCCAGCCCUUAUAUGUUCAAGUUCAGAGGGAGCUUAUGGGUCCCAAGGCAAAGCUCACAUGAGAGGGUCAGAGCUUAAUUCUAUGAAGAGAGUGAAAGUGCAAAACCAGAAUUUUUAGAUUUGAGGGAAUAAAGGAGAGGAAAAGGUGAUAGGAGACAGCCAUUAACAUUUUAGAGAGUCAAUAAUUUCACAUAAAAGGGGGCAGGGGAUUGGGAAUCCAUUUGCGAGGAGCCUAUACACUUAGGCCUUGUUUAACUUUGGGCAUACAGUAACAGGAAGUGCUGACACUCCUAUAAAUCAACCAGAACACACAAUAUAUAAGAAAAACAUGGAAGUUAUGAUCCUAGGAGGAUCAAUUUUGGGUCAUGCAUAGCAAUUUCCAAUGUUGUCAUACCCCAAACUAACCACAAGUACUAAACACAUUGGGGUAGGGUUCUAGGAUUCACAAGUCAUAAUAGGUAAUGAAGAAAAAAUUAAUUCAGAAUCAGAGAGGACAGAUUAAAGCAUACUUAAUAACGGUACUGAAUUAAAUACACACAAUAGAAAAGCGGGGAUGUAAGAAAUAGUAAAUAAGCAUGUUGUUGUUGGUGCAUAAGUUUAAUUAGGAAAUACCAGUAAGAAAUGCAAAUGCAGAGAAAUAAGAAAGUUUCCCACAGCCUAGCCUUGGCUUUCAGCCAGCUAGGUAAGGCAGAGAUAUAGUUGUAACAGAGAAACGAGAGAGAAUUAGUAUAGUGUGUGUUUGAACUCAAGUGUUAUGCCUUGUGUUCGUGUCUCUUGAAAGAGAAUAAGUACAGAGUAUUUAUAGUUUUUUUGAAA
rnacentral:lncRNA from 1 species